rfam:Myotis lucifugus cont2.46829, whole genome shotgun sequence.
UUCGCCACUGAUUGUCCAAACGCAAUUCUUGUACGAGUCUGCGGCCAACCGAGAAUUGUGGCUGGACAUCUGUGGCUGA